GACGUAGGGCGCGAGCGUUGUCCGGAUUUAUUGGGCGUAAAGAGCUCGUAGGCGGCUUGUCGCGUCGAAUGUGAAAUCUCAGGGCUCAACUCUGACAUUGCAUUCGAUACGGGCAGGCUAGAGUUCGGUAGGGGAGACUGGAAUUCCUGGUGUAGUGGUGAAAUGCGCAGAUAUCAGGAGGAACACCGGUGGCGAAGGCGGGUCUCUGGGCCGAUACUGACGCUGAGGAGCGAAAGCGUGGGGAGCGAACAGG
rnacentral:rRNA from 1 species